UACGUAGGGUGCGAGCGUUGUCCGGAAUUACUGGGCGUAAAGGGCUCGUAGGCGGUUUGUCACGUCAGGAGUGAAAACUCGGGGCUCAACCCCGAGCCUGCUUCUGAUACGGGCAGACUAGAGGUAUGCAGGGGAGAACGGAAUUCCUGGUGUAGCGGUGAAAUGCGCAGAUAUCAGGAGGAACACCGGUGGCGAAGGCGGCUCUCUGGGCCUUACCUGACGCUGAGGAGCGAAAGCGUGGGUAGCGAACAGG
rnacentral:rRNA from 1 species